CAGUAGCCGCGGGAAUACGUAGGUGGCGAGCGUUGUCCGGAAUCAUUGGGCGUAAAGGGAGCGCAGGCGGGCAUGUAAGUCUUUCUUAAAAGUUCGGGGCUCAACCCCGUGAUGGGAAAGAAACUACAUGUCUUGAGUACAGGAGAGGAAAGCGGAAUUCCCAGUGUAGCGGUGAAAUGCGUAGAUAUUGGGAGGAACACCAGUGGCGAAGGCGGCUUUCUGGACUGCAACUGACGCUGAGGCUCGAAAGCGUGGGGAGCAAACAGGAUUAGAUACCCCAGUAGUCCCUGUCUCUUAUACA
rnacentral:rRNA from 1 species